AGAGUUUGAUCCUGGCUCAGAACGAACGCUGGCGGCACGCUUAACACAUGCAAGUCGAACGCUAUAUUAUCUUCGGAUAAUGGAAAGUGGCGGACGGGUGAGUAACGCGUAGGAACCUGCCCAAAGGUACGGAAUAACUCAGGGAAACUUGAGCUAAUACCGUAUAUUCCCUACGGGGGAAAGAUUUAUCGCCUUUGGAUGGGCCUGCGUUGGAUUAGCUAGUUGGUAAGGUAACGGCUUACCAAGGCGACGAUCCAUAGCUGGUCUGAGAGGAUGAUCAGCCACACUGGGACUGAGACACGGCCCAGACUCCUACGGGAGGCAGCAGUGGGGAAUAUUGGACAAUGGGCGAAAGCCUGAUCCAGCGAUGCCGCGUGAGUGAAGAAGGCCUUAGGGUUGUAAAACUCUUUCACCAGGGAAGAUAAUGACGUACCUGAGAAGAAGCCCCGCUAACU
rnacentral:rRNA from 1 species